GGUUUUCUCUUUUCAACAAUUCGGCUAAACUACCUUCUUCCCAGUGAAUUCCUUUCGCUUCAAUUACUUCAGGCUUGAAGGAUGACACGGGUUUUUCUAAAGGGAAGUAUCCUUUUGGGCAAAUCAACUUUAGAAUGUCGCUACUCGUAUUAAGAUUUGGUUUAAAGGAUUGUUGUGCUUGCAUGAUGACACCGAGGG